rnacentral:tRNA from 1 species
CCUUGUGGCUUAGAGGGUAAAGAAUCUGCCUGUAAUGCAGAAGACCCAAGUUCAAUCCCUGGGUCAAGAA